UACGUAGGGUCCGAGCGUUGUCCGGAAUUAUUGGGCGUAAAGAGCUCGUAGGCGGUUUGUCGCGUCGGCUGUGAAAACUCGGGGCUCAACCCCGAGCCUGCAGUCGAUACGGGCAGACUAGAGUGCGGUAGGGGAGACUGGAAUUCCUGGUGUAGCGGUGAAAUGCGCAGAUAUCAGGAGGAACACCGGUGGCGAAGGCGGGUCUCUGGGCAUGACCUGACGCUGAGGAGCGAAAGUGUGGGGAGCGAACAGG
rnacentral:rRNA from 1 species